rnacentral:rRNA from 1 species
CGGGACGGGGUGAGUAAUGUCUGGGAAACUGCCUGAUGGAGGGGGAUAACUACUGGAAACGGUAGCUAAUACCGCAUAACGUCGCAAGACCAAAGAGGGGGACCUUCGGGCCUCUUGCCAUCGGAUGUGCCCAGAUGGGAUUAGCUAGUAAGUGGGGUAACGGCUCACCUAGGCGACGAUCCCUAGCUGGUCUGAGAGGAUGGCCAGCCACACUGGAACUGAGACACGGUCCAG